rnacentral:rRNA from 1 species
UGUUGUUUGGUUUGGGUAAGGUCUUGUAAACUAAAUUUAUGUGGUGAUAAGUGAGUCGUAAAGCUUUAUAACUGUUUGGUUGUUUAGAAUUUAGUGGGAUGUAGGUGGCUAUUAGGUCAUUUAUAUUUUUAUACAUUUGGUGAUGUGUGGUUUUUGAUAAGGUUAGAGGUACCUAGUUUUUGUUAUAUUGUUGUAAAUAUGGUUUUGUUGGUUUAUUGGUAUGUUAAUUGUUUGAACAACUGUUUUGCUAUAUUUGGUUAUUAUAUUAUCGUUGAAUAAGUAAUUUUAUUAUGCUAUUUAUUUCUUGAGUUCUUUCCGUCUGUUUAUUAAAAACAUUUCUAAUUUUAAUUGUAGUUAGUAGUGCCUGCCCAAUGUUGGUUAAUUAAUGGCCGCAGUAUAUUGACUGUGCAAAGGUAGCAUAAUUAAUUGCCUUUUAAUUGGAGGCUUGUUUGAAUGGUUUGACGUGAUUGGUAUGAAUAUUUGGUAUUUAGUUGAAAUUGAUUUUGAGGGUUUAGAAUCCUUAAUGUUUAAUAAGACGGAAAGACCCUAGGAUCUUUUGUUUUUGUUUGGGGCAAAUAUUGUUGUUUUAUGAAUAUUGUGACCCUGAGAUGAUAUUGGUUUAUUGGGUUAAG